rnacentral:misc_RNA from 1 species
AAGUCGUAACAAGGUCUCCGUAGGUGAACCUGCGGAGGGAUCAUUAACACAAGUGGGGGGACACCAACACCAACACUGGUACUCGCAAGGGUGACGCUGUUGGUGGUGCUCUCACUUCUUCUCAACACCCAUCUAACGUGAACUACUGUGACCCUUACUUUUUGUCUUCGCAGCCUUGCUGCUGUGAUGAUUUCAUUUUUUUGUGAAUGAAACCCUUUCCAAUGUUUUUUUAACACUUGUAACUGUGCUGGAGCUAUGUGUGUUAGUGCAAACUAGCCCUCUUGCUCUUUAACUAUUACGAACUAUAAUGAGUACAACUCUUAGCAACGGAUAUCUUGGUUCUC